AGCUGGAACUCAGGUUUGCAGAGGGAGCCCAAACCAACCUAGGCUGAGAUGCUGUUCCUCCUGAGAUAAACCUAACCCCGCACAGAUUCCCGGCUGGCUGGCAGAUGUCUAUGCUUAGCGUGAACGAUUAAGCGACUCACUGCGCUCCGGGGAUUGUCACAAUGCUGGGCCGGGGCAAACGGCACGGACGGACUCAACUCCCAGGGUGCGCUAUCGGCUCCAGCCGGAGCCUGACUCGACCUGCAAACCCACCGCUCCGCUGCACGCGAACAGCCUCCGCCGGCCAAGUGCACCCCCAGCUGCGCCCCAACUUUGCCUUGUGUGGUCCCAAACUUUCCCUGGUGGGUUCACAGGAAAAUAAAACUAAAGGACAGACGCCUCACUAGAGAGCCGGGAGCUGGGAUGCAGCGUGGGGAGGGGCUUGGCCGGCAUCUCCCAGAAUCGCUGGUGGGUAGCUGGGGAAGGGGAGCGUCCCUCUUAGCGCCUCCCCGACAGCAGGCCCCCCACCCCGAGCCGGAAGCAGGGCGGUUUGGGUGGGAGAAGCAGGGGGUGCUCAGAAGCCGCACCCGGGAGCUGAGAGAGUUGGCUAACUCCUUUCGGGGCCUGGGGCGCCCACGUCCUCCGUGAAGCCACCUGUGAGUCUGCCGCCGGAUGCACGCCAUCCGGAUCCAGGGACCCCGACCUCUGCGGCCCCCGAGCCCGGCGGCUGGUCUGGGUUCGGCCGCCCGCACUUACCGGGAUCCGCCAGGAAGACGCGCACACUGCGGGGGCCCGAGCGCGGCCCGCCGCUCCGGUCCUCCGCCUCCUCCGGCCCUCCGCCUCCUCGCUCCGAGGCCCGGGCUGCGGCUCGCACUCGCCGCCGCUCUCGCCGUCCGGGGCUGGGCUCGGGAGGAGACUAAGCCGCCGCGAGCCCCGCGCGCCGCCUCUGGUGCUGCCUGGCCCCCUCCGGCCCCUCCCUCUCGCCUCUGCGCGGGGAGCGUGGCCGCAGCGCGCUCGGCUCCCGCGCCCUCUGCUCCACGCCUCCUGGGCGCAGAGGCGACGCCGGCUGCGGUCUCUUAGGAGAUUUCUCCGCAGUGGGGACAGGGGUCAGGAUUUGCAGACGGGCAAGGACGAAGAGGAGAAAUCAUACAGGAGACAUCAGUCCUGGAGCCCUGUGCCCUCCUGUUGCCACAUGAGCCAACAGCUGCCCAGACCUGCUCCACGGGUAUCAUCCUGGGAAUUCUCUUUGUGUUGAGAGCCCUGUUUCCUCAAUCCUCUUUUCUUCUUUACUUUCCCUGCUAACUGGAGCACAGCCUCCUGUGUCUUCUGUGGAGUCCUGCCCCAAGGCCACAGUGUAAGGCCUUGCAUCAAGGCCACAGACAUGGAGCCCAGAACCAAGUUCACCUCCAAAACUGACUGAGCCUCUUUGUAACCAUUGCCAAAAGCCCCCAUGAUUAUCACCAGCAGGCUUCUCGAUCCCAUUUUAGACAAAAAUGCCCACACAGUGCUCACCCUAUAGCACCUUAACCAAUCACCUAAAGCCAGCCUUUCAGCAGGAAUUUUCUUUGUUUUGAGGCUGCAAAAACUAACCCGUGAAAACUGUCGACUUUCUCUAGUGGUCAGCUGUACUUGCAG
ensembl:lncRNA